rnacentral:lncRNA from 1 species
GUCUCCGAAACGGGAGGGUGCCUGAAGAAUCCUCCUGUGUUUACCCAAGAGCAGGGAAGUCUUACCGACAAACCACAGUUCCAGAGUCCUCCUCACUGAGCAGGAAGCCCAAGGGCUGAGGCGGCCGCACAAUGAUGGGAGGGGCUCUCUGGCUUUGCAAGGGCAGGUGUCCUCCUGCUGACAGUGUGGAGGGUGGUGGCAGGGACCACUGGUUCGUGGUUGGCUCGGGGAGAAAGGAGGAAGGAGAAUGAGGUCAAGGGGAGACUCUGCACCCCAGAGACGGCUUUGUCCACCUGCAAAAUUAAAAACUCACAUCCCUGCAGUUCUCUUGUGGUGCCACGGGUGAAGGAUCUGGUGCUGUCCCUGCAGUGGCUUGGGUUGCUGCUGUGGUUCGAGUUUGAUCCCUGGCUUGGGGAGUUCUGCAGGCUGUGAGUGCGGCCAAAAAGGAAGAAAAGUCCACACCCAUGAAUGCUUAUUCGACUCUGGGCAAGGGAGAGCCGCUGGGCACAGUGAUGUGAGCCACAGGGAAAAGCCAGCAGGGGACCGGGGCUCAGAGGAUAAAGUGGGGGCAGGAUGGGAGCAGUGAGGCAGUGAGGCACAGUCCUGGAGAGAGCGAGAGAUGUGGCAGCCAAGCUCCCUGGAAGAUGCUAGAAUCCAGGCUCUGGAACCGCAGUGUGGUUGGCGGGCAGUGGUGCCUCCCCUGGGCCUCAUUAGAGUUACCUGGGGACUUUGCUCUGAUGUUGGGCCCUUUUCCAAGUGAGUCUGUGUAAUCGGCUUGGGCUUUGGCCCAGGUGAUUCUCAUGUGCCAGCUGCUUAUGAAGGAAGGGGCAGUGCCUCCUGCGGAGGUGGCGGGAGAGGAGGCUGACGGGAAACCGAAGGAGAGUCCUACAUGUAUCAUUUGUUUUUCCAGCUCUUUCAACCACAUUUCUCAGCCUCUGAAAUGCAGCAACUGCCCUGGAAGACUCGAGGUGACUGUGCAAGGAGGAGCUGCAGACGGCGUGCCUUGUGGGUCUGGAGGCAGGACUGGAGCCCCAGAGCAGGUGCGGCCGUAAAAAGAAAAAAAGGUUCCCUGAGGGUGAUGCCUGAUGUGGCCCGCUGUCUGGGGUACAGGCUCCUAGUCCACCCCCAGAGGAAAGAAGAGAAAAGAAGAAAACAAGCCUCUUGGUCCCGCUUCGGCCCUGCUCUGUACUGUCCUCACGGGGUUACUUAGCCCUCGGCGAGGAAGCAGACGCCCACCGUACGCACAUCUGGGUCUACCUGCCUCCCGUGAAGCAAGCCCUCUGUUCCUGGUCUGAUUUCUGCAGCCUCAGUCAGACCCAGGCCACCUGCUCGGGAAUCUAGAAGACAGAGGAUGGAUAAACAACAAGCAGCUACUGUCGAGCACGGGGAAUCAUAGCCAACAUCCUGUAAUAAUAAGCCUUAAUGGAAAAGAAUAAACAAAGGAAAGUAUGUAUAUACUGAAUCA